rnacentral:rRNA from 1 species
GAUGAACGCUAGCGGCAGGCCUAACACAUGCAAGUCGAACGGUAACAUGAGUAGCAAUACUUGAUGACGAGUGGCGCACGGGUGCGUAACGCGUAUGCAACUUACCUCUAACUGGAGAAUAGCCUUCCGAAAGGAAGAAUAAUACUCCAUAAUAUUACGAUGUGGCAUCACAUUGUUCUUAAAGCUUCGGCGGUUAGAGAUGGGCAUGCGUCUGAUUAGCUUGUUGGUGAGGUAACGGCUCACCAAGGCAACGAUCAGUAGGGGGCCUGAGAGGGUUAUCCCCCACACUGGUACUGAGACACGGACCAGACUCCUACGGGAGGCAGCAGUGAGGAAUAUUGGUCAAUGGACGAAAGUCUGAACCAGCCAUGCCGCGUGCAGGAUGAAUGCCCUAUGGGUUGUAAACUGCUUUUAUAUAGGAAUAAACCCCUUUACGUGUAAAGGGCUGAAGGUACUAUAAGAAUAAGGACCGGCUAACUCCGUGCCAG